rnacentral:lncRNA from 1 species
UGUGGAGCUGAACAAAAUUUGUUUUGUAAUUUUUAGAUUUUUCUACAAAUUACUAACAUUUAUCAAUUUUCAACUGAUUUAAAAAAUAAAAUAAAAGUAAAUUAAUAGGAUAAACACUUUGCACUUAGGCCCUAUACUUUUUUUUAUUCUCAACGUGCUCUGAUAUGUAUUAUUUAAUGUGUCAGAAGAUUUUGUAUUGGAAACCCUCGAAAAACUUUUAUUUUUUUUUUCUCUCUUCCAACGAUUCCAGAGAGAAGAUUGGCCGACAGAAUAAAAUGAGC